rnacentral:rRNA from 1 species
AAUGGAUUUGGCGGCGAAAUAUUCCUUUUAGAGGAACCUGUCCUGUAAACGAUAAUCCACGAAAGAUUUUACUUUUUUUAGUAAUCAAUUUGUAUACCGUUGUUGUCAGUUAGUUUUAAUAGAAAGUUUUCUUAAAUGAUUGUUCAUUGAUUUCAAAUAAAGGUGCAGUUAAUAAAAAAGUUUGAGGUGGGUUACAUUUAUUUGAUUAAUACGGAUAAGUGGCUGUAAGGUUAUUUUGAAGGAGGAUUUAGAAGUAAAAAAGUAUUAUUUUGAUAAGAGUAUUAUUUUGUGUACAUACCGCCCGUC